ACACCGAUGGUGAAGCGGUCAUCAUGCUUGCCUUUCAUAAUUGUAAAUGUUAUUGUGAAGCAGGGGGCAGGGGUUCGACUCCCCUUCGGUGUA